rnacentral:lncRNA from 1 species
CUGAAAAGUCAGAUUAGCCCAGCAGUGAGGAGGUAAAGGGCAUUGGAAGGGGGUGGGAGGCUCAGGUGAUGCUUGUGAUCACCUGGGGAGGACUCAGAGCCUGCUGGGGCUCAUAGGGUGAACGCAGGAGGCGUGCUGGUUCUUUGCAGCUAGAGGAGGAACUUCUUCACCCCAAGGCUUGAAGGUAGUAGGAGCCUGCGAAGAGCUUUCUGAGGAGUCCUGGUCGUCCUGACCAUAGUUUGUGGAUCAGAACCAAGUGUCAGGUGGGCCAGGGGAUUGGUGUCAAAAUCAGAAGUCUGAAUCUGGUCUGUGAACUUGGGAGCAUCUCAAGCUAAAGGAUACAGUACUCUCAAGUGAAGUGAGAAAAUCGUGUCUGUGACAAAUGCUAGCUGGUGGCAGCUGCAGGAGCAGAGGAUUUCAGCCCUCCCACGUUCAGCACCUGGGACACACGUGGCAGAAUGGUGCCUGCAAGAAGAGGAGAUUUUCUGUGGUAUUAAUUACAGUGAUACUAGGUGGCCAUGAAGACUGCAACAUCCACAUCAGUAUCAAUUCAUCGAGUCACAAAGUAAAAAAACCACAACUGACUUUUGAUAAACUUUUGUAAGAAUGAAAUUUCUUCUGCCAGUGAUUAUCUCGAAGGUCCACAUGUAACAACUGAGUUAAACUGACGGAAACGAUCUCUCUGAUUUGUGUGUACCUACUGCUGUUAAAGUCGUGCCACAGCUCAUCAGUGAUCAUUCCUCUUUCUCAGAAAAGAAAAAUAAAUCAAGUCCUUAACCUGGAGAGGGGGAAGGA